GGAGCACGUGACCACCACCGCGGCCGCCAUGACACCUUCCGCUAGCUCCCGCCCUCCCCCACCGAUUCCCGCCUGUUUCGCUUCUCCUCCUCCGGUCUCGAGCGGCGGAGAGUUUCGGGGAUUCGGCUUGGCUCGCCUUUCUCCCUAGAGAGCAUCCGGUCCGGCUCCGUGGUGCGUCGUCGGCCCGAGGCGGCUCCCAGACUGCAGGCCGCAGGGAGCGGAAUCGCGACCCGCGGCUGGAGGGGGAGGGAGCACGCGCGGGGAGGGGCGUGAUCGUCACGUGACGAGGAAGUGCCGUUAACAGCGCUUUCCUCCGGUCCCUGGCGCCCCUGGAUGACGUUGCCAGGGAGGGGGCGGGGUGACAGGGUGUGUGAGGUUCAGGUUCCGCUGUCAAGGGGUGUUGAGUGUCUGUGGAGCCUGCUCGGUGAAAGCGAUCGCUGGUCUCUGGGGGGGGCGGAACUCGGCCCGCUAGUCAGCCUGAGGUUCUGUGAACCUGGCUUGGAAAACCUGCUUCCUGGACUUCUCCAGAGUGACAGCUGCGGUUUAAAGUCAUAAAAGUUAGCUGUGAUUGACGGGAGCUCCUUGUGGUCAGGGACUUGGUCUGCUGCGCAUCCUUCAUCUCCAGCAGCGCCUCCAGGGCCUAGAACACGAGAGAAAUUCUGUGUCUCUUACAGAACAACCGUCAUCUUUCUGGCUAAAUGACUUUUGUGCCAGUGAUACCAGAAGCCUACAGCCAUGUUCUUGCAGAGUUUGAGUCCUUGGAUCCGUUACUCACAGCCCUGAGGCUGGACUCCAGUCGUCUGAGGUGUACCAGCAUAGCUGUGUCUCGGAAAUGGUUGGCGUUAGGCAGCACAGGAGGAGGACUCAAUCUCAUUCAGAAAGAUGGCUGGAAGCAAAGGCUGUUUCUCUCUCACCGGGAAGGGGCAAUCUCUCAGAUUGCCUGCUGCUCUCAUGAUGAUGAUUAUGUUGCUGUAGCUACCAGUCAAGGUCUUGUAGUUGUUUGGGAAUUAAAUCAAGAGCGUCGUGGGAAGCCAGAACGAAUUCAUGUGUCCUCAGAACACAAAGGCCGAAAAGUUACUGCCCUCUGUUGGGACACGGCUGUUCUGAGAGUCUUUGUCGGUGACCAUGUGGGCAAAGUAUCUGCCAUCAAACUCAACACUUUGAAACAAGCAAAAGCAGCUGCUGCCUUUGUGAUGUUUCCUGUGCAGACAGUACUAACAGUGGACUCGUGUGUCGUCCAGUUGGAUUACUUGGAUGGAAGAUUACUUGUGUCUUCACUGACUCGAUCCUUCUUGUGUGACACCGAGAGGGAAAAGUUUUGGAAAAUCGGAAAUAAGGAAAGACAUGGAGAAUAUGGGGCUUGUUUCUUCCCCGGGCGGUGUGCUGGGGGCCAGCAGCCUGUGAUCUACUGCGCCCGCCCAGGCUCCCGGAUGUGGGAAGUGAACUUUGACGGGGAAGUGCUCAGUACACACCAGUUCAAGAAGCUCCUGUCAAUGCCACCCCUCCCUGUGAUCACUGCAAGAUCAGAGCCUCAGUAUGAUCACACAGUUGGAUCCUCCCAGUCUUUGGCAUUCCCCAAACUCUUGCAUCUUAGUGAACACUGUGUGCUGACUUGGACAGAAAAGGGAAUUUAUAUUUUCAUUCCUCAGAAUGUUCAAGUUCUUCUUUGGAGUGAAGUCAAGGAUAUUCAGGAUGUAGCUGUCUACAAGAAUGAAUUGUUCUGUUUACACUUUAAUGGAAAAAUCUCACAUCUUUCCCUGUUGUCUGUGGAGCGCUGUGUAGAACGCCUGUUAAGGAGAGGCCUGUGGGACCUGGCUGCUCGCACAUGCUGUCUCUUCCAAAAUUCUAUUAUUACCAGCAGAGCAAGAAAAACAUUGACUGCAGAUAAGUUGGAGCAUUUGAAGUCUCAGCUGGACCUUACAGCCUGCAGUGAACUAAUUUCUCAGCUGGACGACUUGAUCUUAAGGUUCGAGCCUUUGGAGUCGGCGUGCAGCAGCAGAAGAAGCUCCAUCUCAUCGCAUGAAAGUUUUAGCAUCUUGGACUCUGGUAUUUAUCGUAUCAUCAGUAGUAGAAGAGGCAGUCAGUCCGACGAAGAUUCUUGUUCCCUUCACAGCCAGACCUUCUCAGAAGAUGAAAGGCUUAAAGAAUUUGCCUCACACCAGGAAGAGGAGCAGCCAGAGCAGGGCUGUGGUGCCAAUAGGAAUGAAGAGAGUGCUUCCCACAGUCCAGUGAUGUCUGAGGUAGAUAAGAGUGAAGCUUUUCUGCCCUUCAGCAUUGCACUGCCAUUUCGUUCUCCAUCUCCCCUCGUGUCUCUUCAGGCUGUUAAAGACAGUGUUUCUAGCUUUGUGCGUAAAACUACUGAGAAGAUUGGCACCCUUCACGGAAGCCCCGAGCUGAAAGAGCCUUUUGAAUCCAAGGAUGCUGACCGAGCACAUGAAGAGGAAGGAGAAAGAAAUUCAUCAACCUCCUAAAGAAGACAGGCUUCAAGAACUCACAGCAGCGACAGCAGAAGCAAUGACCAAGUUAUUGGACCCUCUGGUUCUGUUUGAGCCCAAGGUGCUAAGAAUGGUUUUACUUGAGUGGCUUUCACAGUUAGAGAAAACAUUUGCCAUGAAAGACUUCCCCGGCAUUUCCAAUACCAGCAGUCCAACCGUGAAAUCAAACUUGGGUGCACACCUCCUCGGUGAGACAGAAAAGAGAGUAUUAGAUGAAGAGAGUGGAGAAGGAAGAAGGGUCUCUUUAGUCACUGAAGAAGCUGGAGGUCAGAUAACCUGUGACCCUGUAAGCAACCUCAGUGAGCCCUCGGCUGACCGUUUUCGAGUAUGCUCUCCAUACGCCAUCACAAACAGCCUUCAGAGGGACCUGGCGGAAUUGACAACGUUGUGCUUGGAACUGAAUGUGUUGACUUCAGCAAUGGAAAGCGUAGGUGGGCAUGUGGACCGGGCUUCACAGCAGCUCUCUCCAGAAAUCCUGGCUUGUCGUUUCCUAAAGAAGUACUUUUUUCUUCUGGACUUGAAAAGAGCAAAGGAGAGUAUCAAGCUCACUUACGACAGCCCUUGCGUUUGGGACACUUUUGUCGAAGGACUAAAAGAAAUGGCAAGAUCUAAUCCUGCCUACACGGAGCUGGAAGAAGGAGACCUGCCCACGGGGUUACAGUUACUGGAUGGCUCCGUCCCUUCUGAUAGUCCCUUGUUGAUUGCAUUUGCCACCCGGUUGUAUGAUAGAUUUGGGGAGUCAGCCCUUCGAGCUUGCAUCAAGUUUUAUCCGUCCAUUUCGCCCUCCGACAUCGCACAGCUUUGCCGUCAUCAUCCUGCUCAGUUCUUGGCCUAUCUAGACAGUCUGGUGAAGUCCAGGCCGGAAGACCAGUGGCCAUCCUUCCUUGAGUUCCUUCUACAACCAGAGUCUUUAAGACUUGAAUGGCUGCUUUUGGCAGUGUCCCAUGAUGCUCCACCAAGCACAAGUACAGUGGAUGAUGAAGGGCACCCCAGGCCCCAUUCACACUUGCUUUCUUGGGGUUAUAGUCAGCUGAUUCUUCUUCUUAUUAAACUUCCUGCAGACUUUACAACCAAAGAGAAAAUGACUGACAUCUGUAGGUCUUACGGUUUCUGGCCUGGAUAUCUUACCCUCUGUCUGGAGCUGGAGAGGAGGAGGGAGGCCUUCACCAACAUUGUGUAUCUGAAUGACAUAAGCCUGAUGGAAGGGGACAAUGGGUGGAUCCCUGAGACCUUGGAGGAAUGGAAGCUUCUCCUACAUCUACUACAGACCAAGAGCACAAGGCCAGCUCCCCAGGAGUCACUAAACGGGAGCCUCAGUGAUGGGCCAGCCCCUAUCAAUGUGGAGAAUGUGGCCCUCCUGUUAGCUAAGGCCAUGGGCCCAGAUCGGGCCUGGUCACUGCUACAGGAGUGUGGUCUGGCUCUUGAGUUGUCAGAAAAGUUCACCAGAACCUGUGAUAUCCUGAGGAUUGCUGAGAGAAGGCAGAGAGCGCUGAUACAAGGCAUGCUUGAGAAGUGUGACCGCUUCCUCUGGUCGCAGCAGGCCUAGUUGGGGAUCUACUUUGACCAAGUGGAAUCCUGCUCUCGACCCUGCAGAGGUCUUUGGCACAGAAGGGAAGAGGACACCCCAAAACAUGCUGCUGCAGCUGCUGAUGUCUCAUCACCGCCUGGCCAGCCCUUGGCUUUUGUGGCUCUGUGACCUCAGAGUUUCUCAAGGAAGCAGUGGGCUGACCUUCACUGGAAGCAGCCUGGAGGUGCUCCCUGCUGGGUCGGAUUCUUUGUGUACACCAUGAAUCAGGGAAUUGGUUUCUACUGAUGCAGAUCUGUAGGGAGCAGAAGCUUUGGUACAGGAAGACAUAACUAAUAUUGUAAACUGGAGUUCAAUACUUUUUCUUACUGAGUUAGGACCUGGAACAAUGACAUCAUUCCUGUUGGCUUAUGUAAUAAAUACUGAAGAUCCAAACUAGAGUUUUAAAUAAGACUGCCCAUAUCUGAGUUGAGCUCAGUUUCAAGUAUUUUUCCAGUAUGUAUUUGAUAUUCUCUAAUCUAAGCCUAUACGUACUGACUAAUCCUGGAAAUAUAUUAUCUGUAAGUUUUGGAGAGUGGGUGACCCAAACGCUCACGCCCUCUCUUUUAUUUUUUUUAUCGGGUUAUGCACUUUUUCCUUCAUUCCUUUCUCUUUUUUUGUCUUAAUUUAUAACCCUCGCUAGCCUGGAACAUGUAGGUAUACCAGGCUGUCUCGACUUUAAAUAUCUACUGCCUCUGCCUCCUGAAUGUUAGAAUUAAGGGUUUGUGCCAUCACAUAUACUUUAAAAUUUUAUUUUAAAAAGCCAUAGCAAGAGAAAGCCACGCACUAACAUAAAUGAUAACAAAUGAUUAUAUUAGCCAAGCCAUGUAACUGGAUUGUCAUUUAUGAAGCUUUAUGUAGCCUGUUAUGUUGGUAAUAAAUGAUGAAGGUUUUCUUUAAGGAGAA